CUGCUCACCUCUUGCUGCCUCGGCCACAUACCUGUACAUCAACAAACAACUCGCAUAUAUGUAGUUCCGCUGCUAACACAAAUAAGGCUGGCCACAGGGUCAAGAAAGAAUGAAAUGGCUGUUAAUAUUGGAGAAAAUAAACAAACGAUAUGUAUCUCUCAAGUUUUUGUCUCAGGUAUGAAAAGAUCUGCUAUUGGUUGCUAAGCUCUGAAAGGGUGAUAGUUUUUUUGUUUUUUGGGUUACCAUUUUACAGUACAGUUUUAAUCCGCAGAACAAAAGAGAGGAAAAGACAGCUCGCCUUUCGACGGCUGGGGAUUUGCUGUGAAGAACAGUGACUGUAGUCAAUAAGCUUUUCAUCUUCACAUCAAAACAAGACCAAUGAGGGGGUGGGGAUGUUCAUGCGUGGUGCCAACAACUCAGGAUUCCAGCCUGGUUUCUCCUUCGUCAAAUGGAAAGCUAAUGGACACAUUAGCUGCCUGCUUGUCCCUCUGCGGUGAUUAGGUGGCUGUGAGGUCAUCCCUUCACUUCAGCCUCCAUCAACAUCAAAGAUCUAUCAUUUCAUUACUGCCAUGGGGAGGAGAGGAGGAAGGAGAAAUGGAUGAAUCACCAGUUGAUCCAUAGAGUCAUCCAUUUAUCCAAAACAAAUGCUUGAAAAACUCAUAUGAAAUGAGUAUUAGAAAUGGGGAAAGGCAGUGUGAUUUGCUCAUGAAACCAAUCUGUGCUAACAGAAAAUUUGUUGACGGGAUAUCAUGAUGACAUUGGGCUCCAAUAGCAACAGUGAUGCUUCCACACUAAGUACUUAAAGAUGGUGGCUGACUGACACGUUACUAUUCAGUUGAUUG